UCUCGCUUUGCUCUUUGUUAAAAAAACCUUCCUUCAUUUCCUUUGAUUUCUUUCAUUCCAAAGAAGAAAAACAUGGCUGAGGUGGGAAUGGCAUUUCUCUCUUCCUUCCUUGGAGUCAUAUUUAAUAAAAUGGCUUCUCCAGUUGUUGUUGAUUUCAUUUGUAGACAAAAAUCAACCGAUGAACUCUUAAAGAAGAUGGAGAUAUCAUUGCGGUCGAUGAAUAUGGUGCUGGAAGACGCAGAAGAAAAGGAAGUUACAAAUCCUAAUGUGAAAAUGUGGAUUGAUGACCCAAAAGAUGUUGCCUAUACUGCAGAAGACAUAUUGGAUGAGAUUGCUACUGAAGCCCUCCAACGCCAGUUGCUUGUUGAAUUCAAACCCGUUGCAGGAAAGGUACGAAACUUCAUCUCUAGUACUUCCCUUGAUCCUUUUAUCCAUCGCCUAGAGCCAAAGAUCCAAGAGGUAGUACUUGAUAGACUAGAACAUCUAGCAAAACAAAAGGAUCUUAUGGGUCUACAAGUAGGAGUUGGAGGAAAACAAUAUCCUGAAAGGUUGACCACUUCUUAUGUCGUAGAGUCCGACACUUUUGGUACGGGUGAGGAUAAGAAAAAAGUAAUUGACUUAUUGCUCUCGUCUGAUGCGGGGGGGAAUGAAAUGUGUGUGAUUGCCAUCGUUGGCAUGGGGGGAAUCGGCAAGACUACCCUUGCUCAACUUGUAUACAAUGAAAGUAGCGUGAAACAACAUUUCGACCUUAAAAUAUGGUUUUGUGUUUCAGAAGAAUUUGUUAUGCCCAAUGUAGAGAAAUCUAUUAUAGAGGCAGCAACUUUGUUACCUUGUCCUAAAUUUGAGAAUCCAGAGCAGCUUCAAGUUACACUAGAGAAGAAUUUGAGCGGGUAGAAAUUUCUCCUUGUUUUGGAUGAUGUUUGGAGUGAGAAACCCAUUCAUCAGGAGUUCCUAAGCCAACUUUUGCACUAUGGGACUCGAGGAAGUAAGAUCCUUGUCACCACAAGGAAUGAAAGCGUUGCAUUGGCCAUGAAGGCAAUUGCAACUCAUCAUCUAAAGCUAUUACCCAACGAUGAUUGUUGGUCACUUUUUGAAAAACAUGCAUUUCGUGAUGGUAGCUCCAAUGCAGAUCCAGAGAUAAAAGAAAUAGGUACACAAAUUGCGAAAAAGUGCAAAGGUCUACCUUUAGCAAUCAAAGCCAUUGGCGAUCUCUUGUGGUCUGAAUCAAGUGUCGAGAGAUGGAUGAAUAUAUUGAAAAGCAAUUUAUGGGAUCUUUCCAUGGAGGGGACAAACAUUCUUCCGGCUUUGAGGUUAAGUUAUAAGUAUCUCCCCUCAUAUUUAAAAAGAUGCUUUGCUUAUUGUUCGAUAUUCCCAAAAGAUUAUAUUUUUAAGAAAGAUCAAUUAGUUUUAUUAUGGAUGGCGGAAGGUUUCUUGCAACAAUCUGAAAUAGAAACUAUGGAAGAAGUUGGCAAUCGUUACUUCCAUUCUCUCGUAUCAAGAUCACUAUUUCAACAAUCAAGUUGUGUAACUAAGUCAGGCUUUAUAAUGCAUGAUCUUGUCAAUGACUUGGCAAAAUUCGUGGCUGGGCAAUUUGGCACUGAUAGUUUAAAAACAAUUGGGAAGAUGACUCGCUAUGUAUCGUAUUUCCCUGAAAGUUGGUAUAAAGUCCAUUAUAUUGAAGAUAAUCUUUUAAAGGCCAAACAAUUGCGCACUUUCCUUGCACUAGAUUUUGAAGGCAGAUCAACGGUCAUGCAUCGGAAAAUCAAAAUUCCAACGACAAUAUUAAUGUGCUUAAGAGUUCUCUCCCUAAGAAUAGGCUCUAGGACAACCAAGUUGCCUGAUUCAAUUGGCAAGAUGAAAUAUCUACGUUAUUUGGAUGUUUUUGGCUUAAGUAUUAAAGGGUUGCCCAAUUCCAUAUGUAAUUUGUGCAAUUUGCAAACGUUGAAGUUAUCCUGGUGUUUGGAUUUGGAUAGAUUGCCAAGAGAUAUGUGGAAACUCAUUAAUUUACGUCAUCUUGAAAUUGAUAAUACUAACCGAUUAAAAGAGAUGCCGUUAAAAAUGGGUAGAUUACAAUGUCUCCAGACGUUGACAAAAUUUGUCGUCAACAAACAGGACAGUGGGUCUCGCAUUGGAGAAUUGGAAAAACUAAUAAAUCUUCAGGGAAAUCUUUUUAUUCAAAAUCUCCAACAUGUUAGAUCAUCCGAUGAUGCUUUCAAUGCAAGGUUGAAGGAUAAGGCUUACCUCUAGAAUUUGGUGUUAGAUUGGUGUCCUCCAGAAGAAGUACUUGGUACUACGGAAAGUCAAAGAGGUGUACUUGAAAAUCUGCAGCCCCAUAGAAACUUGAAAAGUCUCACCAUCUACUACUACAGCGGGAGAGGUUUUCCUAAUUGGAUGGGACUAGGACUUCAUUCAUUGUCUAGGUUGAACUUAAGUAAUUGCAAAUAUUGUUGUGCCUUGCCACCCGUUGGGCAACUAUCUUCUUUGAAUGAACUCGUUAUUAACGGGUUGGAUGGAGUUGUUACAGUGGGAUCGGAGUUUUAUGGAAAUAAUUCUUCUACAAUGAAGCCAUUUGGUAUGUUGAAGUCUCUAUGGUUGAAGAAUAUGCGGAAUUGGGAGAAAUGGUUUCCUUUUGGUGAUGAAAAUGAAGGUGGAGCUUUUCCUCGACUUGAAAAGUUAUAUAUUGUGACGUGCCCCAAGCUGAGAGGAAGGUUGCCUGUACAUCUUCAUUCGUUAGCCAAACUUGAGAUCAGUGAUUGUCAACAUCUUGAGGGUUCGCUCCUCAUAGACUCUUUCUCCGUACUUACCCAUAUAAAAAUACUUGGAUGUGGUAAGUUAGAAUCUCUUACACUUGCAGAACAACAUGAGCAUGAUGGAAUAACAAACUUCAAUAUAAGUUGUCUUCAAGAAUUAAUAAUCAGUGGGUGUUCCUCGCUCAUUUCCCUUCCCAUGGUAGUUUUAAUCUCAACAUUGAAAACACUUGAGAUCAACAAUUGUAAGAAGUUGGAGCUCCCCAUGCACCGACAAUAUUCAUCCCUUCAAUUGUACUUGAGAGAUUGUUGUGAUUCCCUGACGUCCUUUCCAUUAGACCUAUUUCCAAAUUUGCAGAAGCUUAUAAUCAAUGGGUGCAGGAAUUUGCAAUCUUUGGAACAACAUGGAGGUGAUUUAUUGAUAUCGAAAAUAGAAAUACAGAAAUGUCCUAAUUUUGUAUCUUUUCCAAAAGGAGGAUUGCGUGCCCCUAACCUUGCAGACUUUAUCCUCAAUGAUUGUGAGAGCUUGAGGUCAAUGCCGGAUAAGAUGCACCUAUUCCUUCCAUCUCUUUGGUUUUUGGGAUUAGAAGAUUGUCCAGAAGUUGAGUCGUUUCCAGAAGGGGGAUUGCCUUCCAAUCUGAAGCAAAUUAUGAUCUGUAGGUGUAAGAAACUCAUUGCAAAUUGGAAGGGAUGGGGUUUGCAAAUACUCCCCUCUCUUGCAUGGUUGAAUAUCGUCGGCGAAUCAGAAAAUAUGGAAUCCUUUCCUGGGGAGUUGUUGUUGCCCCCCACUCUGAUUAGUCUUGAGAUCCAUUCAUUUGAAAAAUUGAAAUCCUUUCCUGGGGAGUUGUUGCUCCCCAAUCUGACCAGUCUUAAGAUCGAUUCAUUUGGAAAUUUAAAAUUUUUGGACAAGGAGGGGUUUCAAUAUCUUAUCUCCCUUGUACAAUUGGAGAUCCGUAAAUGUCCAAAGCUCAAGUACAUGCCAAAAGAGGGAUUCCCUGCCUCCCUUCGUUUUUUACCGAUAGAGGACUGUCAUCAUGUGCUAGAGAAAGAGUUGGCAAGGAAUAAAGGAAAAGAAUAGCUCAAGGUGGCUCGCGUCCCCAACAUAAUGAUUGGUCGCAAUCAUAUUCAAGGAUAUGAAUUUCCAGGAGGAUUUGAUUGACAGGGAGAUCACUAUUAACAAGUUCUACAGUGGAUCAUUGACAGCUUUCAGAAUUUGGAGGAUGAUCACUAUUAACAAGUUCUGGGCACAACUUUUCUUUCAUGUUUACUUAAAAUUCACACUAAUGAAUUACUCUAACUUGUAAAAACCAAAUGCAAUAUAUGAUUUUUCUUGAUCUUGGAAAAAUCGUGACACUCAUUUGGUUGAUUUUUUUGCAAUCUAGUGAUAUUGAUAUUGGAAUAUAGAAAUAUAGAAAUAGUAUCUGAUGUUAUCAUAGAAUCCAUAAAUAUUGGUAUCUGACUAAGUAAAACAUUAGCAUGCAGUACUGGGAUAUUGCCUCAACAUGAUUUGCAACUUCUGGCUUGCUACACUAAAUGGAAUGAUCAUGAAGACAAGGUACUAGAAUGAUAGAAGGGCACCAAACUCUCCUAAGCAUCUGCUUAAAAGCCUCUUGAUUGUAGUUGCAUGCGUAACGUGAGCAGCUGCACGUACAAUCAAACAUUUUUCUCAUCUCACUACAGUGUUACUCACCAAAUUAUCGGCAUCCACAAUAACUAUCUCCUGCUCCGAUUCUGUUAAAGAUAGUUUUCUGUAAAGCCCUUCUAAUUCCUCCGCCAUGAUGAAUAUCAAUGAGAAAAACCAAACCCUGCACUAGA